AUUGAACGCUGGCGGCAGGCCUAACACAUGCAAGUCGAACGAGUGGCGGACGGGUGAGUAAUGUCUGGGAAACUGCCUGAUGGAGGGGGAAAACUACUGGAAACGGUAGCUAAUAACGCAUACCAUCGAAUGUGCCCAGAUGGGAUUAGCUAGGAGGUGGGGUAAAGGCUCACCUAGGCGAAGAUCCCUAGCUGGUCUGAGAGGAUGACCAGCCACACUGGAACUGAGACACGGUCCAGAUUCCUACGGGAGGCAGCAGUGGGGAAUAUUGCACAAUGGGCGCAAGCCUGAUGCAGCCAUGCCGCGUGUAUGAAGAAGGCCUUCGGGUUGUAAAGUACUUUCAGCGGGGAGGCGUUACCCGCAGAAGAAGCACCGGCUAACUCCGUGCCAGCAGCCGCGGUAAUUC
rnacentral:rRNA from 1 species